GAUACAAACAAAGCACUCAGUAUGUUCCAGGCACCUGUUUAAUCCUUUCUGUUGGGUAGGCAGUACCGUGAUCCUGUUUAAACAGAUUGGGAAAUGGGGACACAGUGUAGGCGACUAGCCCAGGAUCCCGCAGCUAAUCGGGGACAGAGGUGAGAGCUGGAGACGGGCAGUCCAUGCUUUCCACGAUCCUGCUUCUCACGCAGCUAAGUGUUAACCGGGAAGAACUCGGGUGGGACAUGGUGGAGAGACGUUUACUUUUAUUUCAUACUCUUGAGUAUUCAGAACACUAUUUUACCACGUGCAUUAUUACGUUCAUCAUUAAAAAAAGCUAAUUUGAAAUUAUUUUUUUGAGAACUGAGCUUUAGGUACAAGGUGACGGCGUCUCUGGGGACCUCUCGGGAGGUCCUGUGGGCUGCCUGAUGACGAGAGGGAUGGGCGUGGGCUGGCUGAGGACACAGCCCAACUGGCUUGGGAAAGGAGAUACAAGGGGAUAACUGGUUGCUUUCCAUAUAACUCAGGUUGAGCGCAGGCAGCAUUGAAAGCACGGUGGCCGGUCUCUGGCUUUGGUUUUCCCAGUGACUUUUGCUUUGGUGUGCUGAGGCGGACCCCCCCCCACCCCGGGUAUAAAUGGUUAGAGUUUAAUUAUAAACACCUGUUGAUGGAGCCCUACUUUGGCUGAAUAGCGUUUUCUCCCCGGCUUUGGCGGCUCACCCUGGAGUGCUCCCCUCUGCUGCCAGCGUGCCCACCCAGCUGGAGAUUGCCAUGGACGUCA